rnacentral:rRNA from 1 species
GGCAAGGUUAAUAGACGGAGCCGAAGGGAAACCAAGUCUUAACAGGGCGACAAGUCGCCGGCCAUAGACGCGAAACCUAGUGAUCUAGGCCUGUCCAGGCUGAAGCUGAGGUAAGACUCAGUGGAGGGCCGAACUCACCGCCGUUGAAAAGUUGGGAGAUGAGGCAGGCCUAGGGGUGAAAAGCCAAUCGAACUAGGAGAUAGCUCGUUCUCUCCGAAAUGCAUUUAGGUGCAGCCUUGAACUGAGAUAUGUGGGGGUAGAGCUCUGUAUGAUCUAGGGGGCGUACUGCUUACCGAAAUCAAGCAAACUUCGAAUACCAUAUAUCAUGUUCAGGAGUGAGUCCGUGGAUGACAAGGUCCUCGGACGAGAGGGGAACAGCCCAGACCGCCAGCUAAGGUCCCUAAUUAUGUCUAAGUGGGAAAGGAGGUGGACAUUCAUAGACAACCAGGAGGUUGGCUUAGAAGCAGCCAUGCCUUGAAAGAGUGCGUAAUAGCUCACUGGUCGAGAGUGCCUGCGCCGAAGAUGUAACGGGGCUAAGACAUAAACCGAAGCUGCGGAAGAUACCACGUAUCUUGGUAGGAGAGCGUUCUGUAGGCCGUCGAAGGGAUGCCGCAAGGCCAUCCUGGAGGUAUCAGAAGCGAGAAUGCAGGAAUGAGUAGCGAGAAGGCGGGCGAGAAUCCCGCCGGCCGGAAGUCCAAGGUUUCCAGGGGAAGGCUUGUCCGCCCUGGGGAAGUCGGGACCUAAGCAUAAGCAAAAUUGUGACGGCGAAUGGAAAACAGGUUAAUAUUCCUGUACCGCUGUUAUCGCUUGAGAGACGGAGUGACGCAGGAAGGUAUGCGAGAAGGCUGACGGUUUAGCCUUUCUAAGGGCCCAGCGUGGGCGUGCAGGUAAAUCCGCACGCCUAAACGUGAGACCUGACGGGGAAGUGCAUUUGCAUAAGUCGCAGAUCCUACACUGCCAGGAAAAACUUCUAUCGAUGAGAAGCAGCGCCCGUACUGUAAACCGACACAGGUGGACAGAGUGAGAAACUUAAGGCCGACAGGAUAACUCUAGCUAAGGAACUCUGCAAAAUAGCCCCGUAACUUCGGGAGAAGGGGUGCCUGACAUACCUGAAGAGAGAGACGCUCCCAGGGGAAACAGGCCGCAGUGAAGAGUCUCAAGCAACUGUUUACCAAAAACACAGGUCUAUGCUAAGCUGAAAGGCGACGUAUAUGGGCUGACACCUGCCCAGUGCCGGAAGGUUAAGAGGAGGAGUGAGAGCUCCGAUUUGAAGCCCCGGUGAACGGCGGCCGUAACUAUAACGGUCCUAAGGUAGCGAAAUUCCUUGUCGGGUAAGUUCCGACCUGCACGAAUGGUGAAAUGAUUUGAGAGCUGUCUUGGCUGGAGACCUGGUGAAGUUGUAAUGCCGGUGAAGAUACCGGCUACCUGCAGUAGGACGGAAAGACCCCGUGGAGCUUUACUGCAGCCUGGCAUUGGGUUCUGGCAGUGUGUGUAUAGGAUAGUUGGGAGACUGUGAUGCAGUGGCGUCAGCCAUUGCGGAGUCGCUGUUGGAAUACCAACCAUAUGCUGCCGGAAUUCUAAUCUGGCAACGGAGACAGUGCUAGGCGGGCAGUUUGACUGGGGCGGUCGCCUCCCAAAGAGUAACGGAGGCGUUCAAAGGUUCCCUCAGGCUGGAUGGAAAUCAGCCUGAGAGUGCAAACGCAUAAGGGAGCUUGACUGCAAGACUGACGGGUCGAGCAGGUACGAAAGUAGGAGUUAGUGAUCCGGCGGUUCCGCAUGGAAGGACCGUCGCUCAACGGAUAAAAGCUACCCCGGGGAUAACAGGCUGAUACUUCCCAAGAGUCCAUAUCGACGGAAGUGUUUGGCACCUCGAUGUCGGCUCGUCUCAUCCUGGGGCUGGAGAAGGUCCCAAGGGUUGGGCUGUUCGCCCAUUAAAGAGGCACGCGAGCUGGGUUCAGAACGUCGUGAGACAGUUCGGUCCCUAUCCACUGCAGGCGCCUGAAUACUGAAAAGAUCUGACCUUAGUACGAGAGGACCGGGUUGGACAGACCUCUGAUGCAUCAGCUGUCACGCCAGUGGCACGGCUGAGUAGUCACGUCUGGCACGGAUAACCGCUGAAAGCAUCUAAGCGGGAAGCCAGCUUUGAGAUGAGUAUUCGCAGUAUCCAUAGAGAACAUAUGGUUGAUAGGCUGGGGGUGCAAGUGCAGCAAUGCAUUCAGCUGACCAGUACUAAUAUUACGUCUGCUUUUAAG